rnacentral:rRNA from 1 species
UUCCGGUUGAUCCCGCCGGACUCCACUGCUAUCGGGGUAAGGCUAAGCCAUGCAAGUCGAAGGCCUCCGGCUCCGGGGGCCUGGCGUACGGCUGAGUAACGCGUGGCCAACCUGCCCUGCGGAGGGGGAUAACCCCGGGGAACUGGGGAUAAACCCCCAUAGGUGACCGGGUCUGGAAGGACCGGUCGCCGAAAGUCCCGGUCGGGGAUGCUCCGGCCGGGAGCCGCAGGAUGGGGCUGCGUCCUAUCAGGUAGUUGGUGGGGUAACGGCCCACCAAGCCUGUGACGGGUAGGGGCCCUGAGAGGGGGAGCCCCCAGAUGGACUCUGAGACAAGAGUCCAGGCCCUACGGGGCGCAGCAGGCGCGAAAACUCCGCAAUGGGCGAAAGCCCGACGGGGUUACCCCGAGUGCCACCCUCGUGGUGGCUUUUGCCCGCUCUAAAAAGGCGGGCGAAUAAGGGGAGGGCAAGUCGGGUGUCAGCCGCCGCGGUAAUACCCGCUCCCCGAGU